UCUCCGCCUCGCCGCCGACAGCCCCUCCCAGCCCGCCUGCCCGCCCUCCUUCCGGCUGUUUUUGUUUGUCUGUCUUUCCCGAGAAGCACGAACAGGGAAAGGCUCAUGAGACUGUACUCUGUGAGGGUGGAAACCGGUCUGAACCAUCCCUGUAACUGCUGAGCCCCGGGACCUGCCGCACACUAGCUGAGGGUGAUGGACCCUGCCGCUGUGCACAAAGUCCACACAGAGGACUUCCCGAGGUCAGCCUCCGGAAAGCAAUAGCGACUGGGCCCAGAAACAUCCUGUUAGCACGAAUGCCUUGCUAUGAAGUCACACAAAGAGCCAAGGGGUGUGGCUGGGGAGGUUUUGAAAACUCAGCGAAUAGCAAAACGGGGGCAGGAACAUAGGUCUUUUUAUCCAUCAGGCAAAGUCCCACCUUUAUGACAUAUCUGUCCUGGGUCUGGAGCACCAUGCUUUGUGAGAUUAUAAUAGAGAGGCAUGUCGAUGAAUAAUAGGCGUGUGACAGGUUGGUGUGGGCUGGCAGGGAGCUGCCUCCCGACUGCCCUGCUCGCGCUGCUGUGGGGCUCCCCCGAUACAGGUCAUGGGUCUGACUGGAGUGCCAUUUCCUAACCACUCUUCUGUUCAUCUAGACAUGAUGCUACGUCCAUCCUAAGAGUCAUAUGUGUUCUUUGGUUAUCCUAGAAGCCACUGUGGUAUCCCAGGGCCUUGACACAGCCACUGACAGAAAAAUGAUGAAUAAAAAUAAUACGCGUGAACUGCUGUUAUUCCUGCAUUCCAGAAUUCAAACUGCACCAUAUUCAAAGGAUGCUAAGCUGACAUAAUGGAAGUCUGGAGCUGCCUGUGACCAAGGUUUCCCCUGUGUAGAAGCCUACUGUCGGAAAAAAUGAGGCCAGCACACAGAGACUGAGAGGAGUGGAGAAAGAGAGCUGGGUUGGGAGGAGAAGAAAAGGAUCUUGAUGGUGAUCACGUCCUUGGUUCUAGUGCUUAAAGUCCCCAGGGUCCUGCAACUCUCUGAGUUCCUUCUAGGACAUUCAAUUUUGGGA
rnacentral:lncRNA from 1 species